rnacentral:rRNA from 1 species
UACGGAGGGUGCAAGCGUUGUCCGGAAUCACUGGGCGUAAAGGGCGCGUAGGCGGCUCAUGAAGGCUGUGGUGAAAGUCCGGGGCUCAACCUCGGAUCGGCCGUGGCGACUCGUGGGCUGGAGCACUGUAGAGGCGGGUGGAAUUCCGGGUGUAGCGGUGGAAUGCGUAGAGAUCCGGAAGAACACCAGAGGCGAAGGCGGCUCGCUGGGCAUGAUCUGACGCUGAGGCGACGAAAGCGUGGGGAGCAAACAGGG